rnacentral:rRNA from 1 species
GACGAACGCUGGCGGCGUGCUUAACACAUGCAAGUCGAACGGAAAGGCCCUGCUUUUGUGGGGUGCUCGAGUGGCGAACGGGUGAGUAACACGUUAGUAACCUGCCCUUGACUUUGGGAUAACUUCAGGAAGCUGGUGCUAAUACCGGAUAGGAGCUCCUGCUGCAUGGUGUGGGUUGGAAAGUUUCGGCGGUUGGGGAUGGACUCGCGGCUUAUCAGCUUGUUGGUGGGGUAGUGGCUUACCAAGGCUUUGACGGGUAGCCGGCCUGAGAGGGUGACCGGCCACAUUGGGACUGAGAUACGGCCCAGACUACUACGGGAGGCAGCAGUGGGGAAUAUUGCACAAUGGGCGGAAGCCUGAUGCAGCAACGCCGCGUGCGGGAUGACGGCCUUCGGGUUGUAAACCGCUUUCGCCUGUGACGAAGCGUGAGUGACGGUAAUGGGUAAAGAAGCACCGGCUAACUACGUG